rnacentral:sRNA from 1 species
CCGCCCGUCACACCAUGGGAGCUGAUAAUGCCCAAAGUUGGUUAACUAACCUGAAAAAUUUAUUUUUAAGGAAGAAACUGCCUAAGGUAGGAUCGGUGACUGGGGUGAAGUCGUAACAAGGUAUCCCUACGAGAACGUGGGGAUGGAUCACCUCCUUUCUACGGAGUACAUUUUUUUCAUAAUUUUUAGUGAAAAACCUUUUUAUUUUUUUAUAUAGUUAAAUUAAAUUUGUUGAAACGAGAGUUGAAACGAGAGUCAAAAUUUUUUUUAACGAAAAUUAAAAAAAAUUAAAAAUUUGAAAAUUAUUUUUUUUAAAUAAUUUUAAAAUUUUGAUUUGAUUUAUAUUUGUAAUUUAUGUAUACAGUUUUCAGAGAUUUAUGAUCUCUGAAUUAAAAUAUUAGCUCUUUGAAAACUGGAUUCUAAACAUUAAUAUGAGUUUUAUAAUAAAACAUCCAACAUAAAAAAUGUUUUGAUCAACCUAAGAAUAAACAUAUAACAAUAGGCAAUUAAAUUAAUUUUGAAAUUAAUUUAUUAAAUAAGCAAGAGUUUUUGGUGGAUGCCUUGGGUCUGAAAGUCGAUGAAGGACGUGAUAACCUGCGAAAAGCCUCGUGGAGUUGGAAAUACACUAUGAUACGGGGAUGUCCGAAUGGGGAAACCUAACUAGUCUAACCACUAGUUACUUUAUAAUGAAUAAAUAGUUAUAAAGAGAGAUACGUUGUGAACUGAAACAUCUUAGUAACAACAGGAAAAGAUAAUAAAAUUAAUUAUUUCCUUAGUAGUGGCGAGCGAAACGGAAAGAGCCCAAACCAUUUUUACAAUGGGGUUGUAGGAGUAGACUAUAUAAAGUUACAAAAUUUAAAUAUAGCAGAAUAACUUGGAAAGGUUAAACGUAGAGGGUGAUAUUCCCGUAUGCGAAAUAUUUAAAUCUUUUGUCUACCACCUGAGUAGGGCGGGGCACGUGAAACCCUGUCUGAAUCUACCAGGACCACCUGGUAAGGCUAAAUACUAAUCAGACACCGAUAGCGAACUA